rnacentral:rRNA from 1 species
AGAGUUUGAUCCUGGCUCAGGACAAACGCUGGCGGCGUGCUUAAUACAUGCAAGUCGAACGGUCUUACUUCGGUAAGAUAGUGGCGGACGGGUGAGUAACACGUAGAUGACCUGCCCUAUAGAGAGGAAUAACAGCCUGAAAAGGGUUGCUAAUACCUCAUAAUCUCUCUGUUGUGGGAUAGAGAGGAAACGUACUUCGGUGCGGCUAUUGGAGGGGUCUGCGGCGGAUUAGCUAGAUGGUGGGGUAACGGCCUACCAUGGCUACGAUCCGUAGCUGGUCUGAGAGGACGGCCAGCCACACUGGGACUGAGACACGGCCCAGACUCCUACGGGAGGCAGCAGUAAGGAAUAUUCCACAAUGGGCGAAAGCCUGAUGGAGCGACGCCGCGUGCGGGAGGAAGCCUUUCGGGGUGUAAACCGCUUUUCUCAGGGAUGAAACGGUGGGGUAACCCACCUAAGACAGUACCUGAGGAAUAAGCAUCGGCUAACUACGUGCCAGCAGCCGCGGUAAUACGUAGGAUGCAAGCGUUGUCCGGAUUUACUGGGCGUAAAGCGCGCGCAGGCGGCAGCUUAAGUAAGGUGUGAAAUAUCCCUGCUCAACGGGGAGGGUGCACUUUAGACUGGGCAGCUAGAGGUCGGUAGAGGGUGGUAGAAUUGCUGGUGUAGCGGUGAAAUGCGUAGAGAUCAGCAGGAAUACCCGUGGCGAAGGCGGCCACCUGGGCCGAACCUGCGCUGAGGCGCGAAGGCUAGGGGAGCGAACGGGAUUAGAUACCCUAGUAGUCC